rnacentral:misc_RNA from 1 species
GGAAGUAAAAGUGUAACAAGGUUUCCGUAGGUGAACCUGCGGAAGGAUCAUUACAGUAGUCACCCAGGUUGCCGCAAGGCCUCCUGGGUAACCUACCACCCUUUGUUUAUUACACUUUGUUGCUUUGGCAAGCCUGCCCUCGGGCUGCUGGCUCCGGCCGGCGAGCGCUUGCCAGAGGACCUAAACUCUGUUUGUCUAUACUGUCUGAGUACUAUAUAGUAGUUAAAACUUUCAACAACGGAUCUCUUGGUUCUG